UGCCAGCAGCCGCGGUAACACGUAGGCGUCAAGCGUUAUCCGGAUUUAUUGGGCGUAAAGAGCUCGUAGGCGGUUCGGUAAGUCGGGUGUGAAAACUCUGGGCUCAACCCAGAGACGCCACUCGAUGCUGCUGUGACUAGAGUGCGGUAGGGGAGUGGGGAAUUCCUGGUGUAGCGGUGAAAUGCGCAGAUAUCAGGAGGAACACCAGUGGCGAAGGCGCCACUCUGGGCCGUAACUGACGCUGAGGAGCGAAAGCAUGGGUAGCAAACAGGAUUAGAUA
rnacentral:rRNA from 1 species